UCGGCGCGAGCAUACGAUUUCCCUAAACGGUCAGUCGAGGCGCGCACGGCGUGGCACAGAGCAGAGUUCAGCGCAUCCAGGGGUUAGGGGUGUCGUGUUUGGGAUCGGAGGGGCUCGGGGCGCCGCGGCGUGAGAGAGGAGGAGGAGGAGGAGGCAGGAAGGAGCAGUCGGUAGUGUCGGUAAGGUGGAGCGAGGAGAGACAGGCUGCUGGUACGGUGGCCCUCCUUCGGUGGCGCGUUCUCCAGUCCCCGGCGGUGGUGGCGCUCGAUCACCUGCGGGCACCGCUCGGAAACCCGUCCUUCGGCUGCCCCUCGUGCGUUGUUUCGGCGCGGGCGACGGUCCCAGAAGGGCGACCUCCACCUCCUCGUCCCCUAGGGCGGUCUAGGCUCCGCACUCCCGCGCCGCCGCUGGACGUCCGUUUCCCGCUGCCGACCCCGCGAGCUAAGCCAGGUCACGGUACUCGGAGAGGGACGUCCCAUCUCUCUUCUACCCCCUUUCUCUCUUCCUUCCUCUACUCCCUCUUUUCCUCUCCUUUCUCCUCUCCCUCCACGUCGCCGUCUACUUCUCCUUGUGGCGGGGAGGAGAUGCCGUGGGGGAGCGGCGCCAACCUAUACGUCGGAACAGCCGCAGAGGAAGGGGAGCGGCCUCUACGUCGAAGCGGCGCAGAGGACGGGGAGCUGGUUCCUAGAUCCUUUCCUGCCCCGCCGAGGGAGAGCUAGGCCGGAGAGGGAGCCGAGCGGGAGACCUUGCUGCCGAGGAGGGGGCAGAAAGAGAGCAGUUCGUCGUCGACUAACGAGGGAGGAGGGCAAGGAGAGUGGGUCAUCCUUCGUUACUACCGUCCAGUCUACGUCGGCUAAACAACCCUUCGUCUCGUCUAUUCGUCGCCAGCCGAGCCGAACAGAGGAAGGGCCGUCGAUCGGCCGGCCACCGUAGGUCUGUGGACCCGCCAUCGUCGUUCUCUUCGUAGUCGCUGCCGUUCUCGUUCGAGGAAGCUAACUGAGAAAGAUCGAACCGUAAGAGGCAGGUUUUUAGUCAUCAUGAGUUUGAACUAAUCACGAUCGAAACACACGAGACACAACUCUGACCAUCAUUAUUAAAAACAACAGUAAUUAUGAAACACUAGAUCUAAAACACGAAGUACUUGUAAACAAUAAAUAAAAGACUUUUCAACGAAACUGAUGGUAAAAAUAUAUAUUUGUUAGUUUAUAGUCCAAUAUAUAAAGUCACUAUUUAGUAACACUUUAAUUUUACAACAAGUUUUGAUAAAUAUGAACGCUCACCUCAAUAUUUAAUAACACUCACCUUAGUUUAAGUAAGCUAAGUUAGAGAGGUUGGUUUGUGGCUUUACAUUGGUAAGGUAAGGUAGAUGACACGAGUUCGUUUGUGUCUCUGCCUUGGCUGGGUAAGAUCACCUUACCUUGGUACUGUAAGGUAAGGUGAAGCAAGGCGUUGGUUUGUGUGGGAAUAUACGGAAACAUUCCAUUAGUCAGCACAUACAGUUACCGUCACCAAAUUUUAUGCAUUCGACUACGUAGAACACGAACGAACAGUGACACAAAGAUGAUCCGUUCCAGACGUUAUCUAAUAUAUAUAUAAGUAAGUUUAUACUGCACCAGAAGAAGGAAACGGAAGCAAUUGUAUAAAUAAACCCGCAAGGAAAAGAGACAUGAAACAAACCCGUCAUAAAAAGGGAUGUGUACAGGAAAAGCUAAUAUUCAAGUACUCGAUUAAACCAGUAUUACAUUGGGCCAGGAUUUUCAUGAGAACGUGACGUCUUAAGAGAAUAAAUGUACAAACCAGUACUAUAUCGAGACAGGAUUUAGAUGAAACGAAAGUCAAACUUAGACAGUACUGGACCCAUCUAUAUGAGAUCUGGUGACAAGUUCUUCCGCGAUGAUCCGCGAGCGGAUCCGCGCGAAUUCGAGACCCGCGACCGUAUCGCGGAGCGAAACCUGGAUCCGCGAGUCUUUUCGCGGGUCUUUCCAGGAGGCCGUUCUUUAGCACAAAGAGUCCGUCCUUUAGUUAGAGGGGUCGGUCCUAAACUGGAGGGGUCGUUUCUAGGUAGGAGGGGCUGCUCCUAAGUUGGUUAGGUCGUUGUUUAGUUGACUAAGGCCGCUCUCUAGUUCGUAAAGGCCACUCUUUAGCUGACUAAGGCCACUCCCUAGUUCGUAGAGGCCGCUCUUUAGCUCGAAGUGACCGACUGACCAAGGGUACACGUCGUUCCCUCUCUCCUUCCUCUCUCCGCCGCACUCCACCUAGGGAUUAAAAGACAGCUGACACGUGCAUACCCUCCGAAAUCAUCCUCUUAACUUAUCUACCCGGUCACCAAAUUACCCGGUCUAGUCGGGUAGAUGGAACAAAGAAGUACGAUGUCACCUUUGCGGAUCCGCGCGGAUCCGCUGCGUAUUCGCCCAACACGCGUUCAUCCAGUGUUUUGCGUAUUCAUUGCGGGUCGCGGAAGAACUUGAAACGAGAUCUGGAACUAUAUACUCAUGCAUUACCUUCUUCACCUGUAGAACCAGUGACGUCUAAAAGAGACAAGUAAAUUUUUUCUCACUUAAUGUUUUAAACAGUACUGGACCUAUCUAUAUGAGAUCUGGAACUAUAUACUCAUGUAUUACCUUCUUCACCUGGAACUAUAUACUCCAUCGAUAAGUAGGUAGAACGAAAAAUCUUUUAAACACUGGUGUCUCCGGCUUCUGCGGUGGGACAUUACAGCGCGACUACCAUCGGGUAUGACGAAACGGCUACUUAUUAUAGCAUUCACAUUGUCGAUUACAAACUUAAAAAGUAUGGCGAAGUCGAUUGGAUACUUAUCCAGACGUGAGACGUGGAUGUAUAAAACUACUAGCAUGUGACAACGGCACCGACCGGUUAUACUACUAUACAAAUUACUUCCAAAACUUAUAAGAUAAGCGUAUCGAGACUGUCCAUUCCUAUGAAAUCCAACGUCGAGUUGAUACAUAGAAACCUAUAAUUAGAAUGUUGUAAAAUAAAGAAGACAAAAACCUGAAGUUUAAAGACGCUUAACACCGAAUUGAUACUAUGAAAUCCAGCGUACGAUUUGAUACAUAUACACUUAACACCGAGUCGAUACUCCAAAGAUUACUUGUAAAACCCAUAAGAUAAUGAUGCAGAAACUUUCCAAUCCUAUGAAAUCCUGAGUCGGUACGGAGAGUCAAAGGGCGGAAGGGGUGAUUCGGUCUUCUCCACCAUAUCACCUCGUUCGUAGUCCAUGAUUAGUCCAAUAACUACGGCGGCCUAUCGACAGCAACCGAUAUUACACUAAUCCACAGUUCGGGAGGCUGCGGGUCGGCAAGCGACAACAGAGACGGGCUUCUUCCUAAUACCAGGAGGCGGAGAGACGAUGAGGAAAAUUUUAAGACCAUUUUUGUGGCCGUACAACAAACUCCACGUACGUAGCCAACAUCGCUUCUACAGGUAUACUGCUACGUAACGAUUGGUACCUCGUGGCGUUCCUAAAUCUUAUACAUGGCGUUGAAUCUCUGAACCGUGUAACGGUGAACGAGGAUAGUGGUACGUUCACCAGCUACGAAAUCACAACUUGAUAAUUAAUUAGGUAGCAAAAAGAAAUUAGAUACACUACCACGGGGAACGGUAUUUAUGAACAAUACACCUAAGUUAUCUUUACUACAAGAUUCGUAGAAACUAGCAAUAUUUUGUUUACGGUAUCUGCAAGUUGACGAUACGUUACAAACUACGAGGAAGU
rnacentral:rRNA from 1 species